UUACGGGAGGCAGCAGUCGAGAAUUUUUCACAAUGGGCGCAAGCCUGAUGGAGCGACGCCGCGUGGGGGAUGAAUGGCUUCGGCCCGUAAACCCCUGUCAUUUGCGAUCAAACCGCAUUAUUUAAAAGAUGAUGCGCUGAUAGUAGCGAAAGAGGAAGGGACGGCUAACUCUGUGCCAGCAGCCGCGGUAAUACAGAGGUCCCGAGCGUUGUUCGGAUUUACUGGGCGUAAAGGGUGCGUAGGUGGUGAGGUAAGUCGGAUGUGAAAUCUCGGAGCUCAACUCCGAAACGGCAUUGGAAACUACCUUGCUAGAGGGUUGGAGGGGGGACUGGAAUUCUCGGUGUAGCAGUGAAAUGCGUAGAUAUCGAGAGGAACACCAGUGGCGAAGGCGAGUCCCUGGACAACACCUGACACUGAGGCACGAAAGCUAGGGGAGCAAACAGGAUUAGAUACCCCAGUAGUCCG
rnacentral:rRNA from 1 species